AAGUCGGCCACUCAGAGGUG
rnacentral:misc_RNA from 1 species